rnacentral:lncRNA from 1 species
UAUCAGUUGUGCUACAAAUGGUUAGAACCCCCCUCCCCCCUUUAUAUAGUAGAGGAAUUCUAUAUAUGGUACAACUCUGGUUUCAAAAGAAAAAUCCCAUGAUUAACUAAACAACCGUUCUUGAUUCGAUCUGUUCCGAGAUUUCCUCCAUGAUCUUCGAUUAGUCGCGAAUAUCUCGCUUUUCCAUUAUUACACUAUCUUCGGUAUUAUUCGAUGCAUGUCUCGUUUAGUCUCGAUUAUUGUCGGCCUCGAUCUUGGCAGGUGCCUAGAAUCUCAAUCUCGAUACCUUGUCUUCGUGCCUCGAUCCGAUCGACUUUGGAGUCGUCCUUCGAUGCAAACUUUCGAUCUCGAUCAAACAGUAAAAUUGAGUGGACCCGAUUUUAACCGUAUACAAAUAUAUUUAUUUGAAAUAAUUUUUUUUACGAGAGAGACCAGGAAGGAAUUCAAUUAAAGAGAUUGACCAAAUAAAAAUAGUGAAUCCAACUCAUUUCAAACAACUCCUACAUAUCACCCAACACUAGAAAUAAAGCUAAUCUUUUUCUAGGGAAAAACUCUCUAUGUUUUGACAGUAUAUUAAUGUCAUCUUGAUUUUUUGGGGUGAACACAAAAGUUUUACUAUAAAUCUUUAAACAGGAAUUUCAUGUCCCAAAUUACCCCCUAGACGUGAUAUGCACCCAACUAACACCACCUGUUAGGCGAACCAUACUUUCAUAUCUUAACCAUUAAUUUGCAAUAUUUGAUUAAUUAUGAGUAUCCAAAUAAUCUGAUAAUUAAUUAUGAAUAAUUAGUAUCUCAAAAUAUUAAAUUAAAACUCUAGCCCAAAUUCUACACUAGACCAUGGAGCAUCUAAGAGAAUUACAAAAGACAUCAUAUGAAUAAAUGAUAAAGACUCUUUUGGCAACCUCCACGAACAAUGCGGCAGCUCACCUCAAUAACCGAAUCAACUCUAGCGAACUCGUCAACUAUUAGCUCCGUCCUCACCAAUAGUAUCUGUACAGACGUGCAGGUAAGGAGUGAGUUAUAUAUAAAUAUAACCCAAUAAGAUCCUCGACCCGCCACUAUGAAUACCUCUGGAAUAAGUGUUAGAAAAUACAAAUACACCACAACAAGAACGAUAUAAUAAAUACGAUAAUUAUACAAUAACUCAAUACAUAUUUAUCAAUAGAGUUAAUAAGAGUUAAUCAACAAGAGUACACAUAUCUUAAUAAAGUAUACAUUAAGGACUUGUUAUGACUGCAGUGAAAGAAAUUAAACAACACCUUUACGAGUCCAUAACGGCACCACAAUGCGUCAAAUGUGUAACAGAGCAUACACAAUGCUCACUUAAACAUACACAACGCCCCAAAUAUAAAUAUCAAGAAGUAUACACAAUAUUCGGGGGAUGUAGAAAGGCAUACACAAUGCCCUAACAUCAUGGCGCACAACCGUAUUAAACUCAACACCAUGGCUCACAGCCGUAUCAAACUAUCAAAUUCAACAUCAUGGCGCUCAGCCGUAUCAAACUCAACAACAUGGCUCACAGCCGUAUCAAACUAUCAAACUCAAUAUCAUGAUGCACAAUCGUAUCAAACUCAACACCGUGGCUCAUAGCCGUAUCAAACUCAACAUCAUGGCUCACAGUCGUAUUAUGCCAUCAAACAACUUAUAAAAUAAUUUUUUUAUAUUUAUAUUUUUCAUAAAAUAAUAUAUUUGCGGCUACUCUAAGACCACCGAUUCUGCCAAGCGCACACUUGUCCCAAUACAUGGACCAGGCAGAAAAAAUAUAUUUUCAAAACGGGUUUUAGAAAAGCAAGCAUCAAAGCUUAAAGUCUCACUUAUCUCGUUAACCACAUGUUUUUUAACCUUGCAACGUCUAGAGCACCAACCAAAGCCUCAAUCUAUACGAUAUAUUGAUAAUCGAUGUCACUUAAUGGGUCAAACUCAAUUCUUAUUCUAAAUCCAUUAACUGACAUGCUAACUAGUUGAAAAAUCCCUUAAUUACUCACAUAUUCAACUUACUCCGCUAUAAUAUUUCUAACCACAAUAUGAUAGAGUUUCUGGUUCAUCAAUAUACUCGUGCACCAAUACUUGAGUUGUGAAGUUCAAUGUUUAUCAUAUAAUAAAAUACAAUUAAUCCAGCAUAUAUGUGCAAAACUCCGAAACUGAUUUCAUGUGCAAAGUUCUGAAAUUAAAUUCCAAAAAUGCAAUCUUGAGAAGUUUUGUCCAUCAUUAAAGGGUAAGGAUUUUCAUUAUUAAAUUACAGUUCUAUUUCUAAGGCCUCACAAGUACAUCAAUAUCAACCAUUAUCACUUGUUCACAAAAAUAAUAAUCAUAAGGUGAAAGAAAUAUUUCAAUACCUCGUAAUUUAUUGUGAUAAAAUAGCCGAAACUAUGUCCUCGUCGUCAUCAUUUCUUCUUUUGGUUCGCUGAUCAUUGAGCUAUCAAUCCCUUUGCCCAAGAAUUCCAUUAACCAAUGAUAACAAAUAAAAAGUCACAUAGCAGCCAUGGUUUCCAGCUCACUGGCGUGUUCCUUCCAAAUACUCUGUUUGUGCAAGUUUUUCUACAAAUUCGCCAACUAGACUCUUACCUCUAGGUCUUUA